UCUAAUAUGGCAGAUCAGUGCAAUGGACUUAAGCCCCAUUUAUAAAGCCCCAGCUUUUUUUAGAA
rnacentral:tRNA from 1 species